UUUCAAACAUCCACUUCAAUUAUUUAAGGUGCUUGAGUAAUGGAAAUUUCUAUGAAAAAUUUAUUGGAACAUCUUCAUGAUUAAAAUUGCAGGUUUUUAAAGACUUAGGAAUCAUCUAUGAGACAUUUAAGGUUUUUAAUUUCU